GGAAAAAAAUUGGGGAAAAAAAUCAAGGUUUGCAAGCAUGUAUCCUAAAAUGACAUUGCUGGACAACAUUCCCGAUGACCGCCGGAAAGAAGUAUGGUCCACGGAAAACGACAGCAGCAUCAACGUCUUGGACCAGGUGAUCGUGGAAGAUAACGGCAGUACAGUCAGAUGGUGGACGGAUGGACAAAUACCAAUCUGCCAACACAAACCGCAGCAAAAAACUCGGCAGAAAAUGUCGCGGCCGUUUUUCGGAAUCGUCAGCAAACAAUCCCCAGG